UGGGGAAUUUUGGACAAUGGGCGAAAGCCUGAUCCAGCAAUGCCGCGUGUGUGAAGAAGGCCUUCGGGUUGUAAAGCACUUUUGUCCGGAAAGAAAUCCUUGGCUCUAAUACAGUCGGGGGAUGACGGUACCGGAAGAAUAAGCACCGGCUAACUACGUGCCAGCAGCCGCGGUAAUACGUAGGGUGCAAGCGUUAAUCGGAAUUACUGGGCGUAAAGCGUGCGCAGGCGGUUUGCUAAGACCGAUGUGAAAUCCCCGGGCCCAACCUGGGAACUGCAUUGGUGACUGGCAGGCUAGAGUAUGGCAGAGGGGGGUAGAAUUCCACGUGUAGCAGUGAAAUGCGUAGAGAUGUGGAGGAAUACCGAUGGCGAAGGCAGCCCCCUGGGCCAAUACUGACGCUCAUGCACGAAAGCGUGGGGAGCAAACAGGAUUAGAUACCCUGGUAGUCCACGCCCUAAACGAUGUCAACUAGUUGUUGGGGAUUCAUUUCCUUAGUAACGUAGCUAACGCGUGAAGUUGACCGCCUGGGGAGUACGGU
rnacentral:rRNA from 1 species